AAUGAGAUCUGUCUGGAGAGGACCAUCGAAGGAGGCUGGAUGCUACUGGAGCAGCGAGGGGAGCACCUGGUACCUGCUUUCCUGGGUAGAGACCCCUCCUACCUCUUCACAUUCUUGAGCACGUACAGAGCUUUUGCUACCACCCAGCAGGUCCUGGACAUACUGUUUAUGAGAUACGGAUGCUUCCAUUCGGACGCUGAGGAGGAUGGCGGACCCCGGGAGCAGGAGAAACAAUUUUCAUGGAGCGCUAGGGUAUGCAGUGAAGGCACUGACUCACCCCGACACCACCCCUCCACUCACGCACGGACUUGAAUUCCAGUGGGAGGUAGGCAGCGGGACACAGCGAGGAGUCUGGCUGGCUUCCCCAAGAAGGACAGAGAUGACCACAUCAUCGGUUAAGGGGUUCCCGUCAAACAGAAUCUUGACGGUCCCUCUUCAGUGACCAGGUCUCUCGUAGGCGGGACUGCCAAAUCACAGGUGGACAACGUAUAGAACCACCCUCUGGACGUCCAGGAGCAGGAGGCAUAGAGGCCAGGUCCCACAGGCCUGUCCUGAGACAUCAGUGGGAAGAACACCCCAUGGUGAUUGUUCUGGC